UUAAGUCAUAAAAAGCUCACGCACAUCUAAAAUAAAAAGCUAGAAGAAAGAAAUCAUUUCUUGCAACUUGAGGCAGGGCACUCAAAUGAAAAGGAAAGACGAGGCGGGUUCAGGCGAGGCACUGGCGACACUUGGACGCUAACUGCUGCUGCCGGCUGGCUACCACAACACUCCGAGUCAUUUCUCUUUCUCUCAGUUGGCUUGCGCGACAUAUUGGGCACAUGGUAUGCUACAAGGAUUAUGUCACAACUGACAAUGGAUGAAAGGACAAGCGGGAGGGAAGAUUAAACAUGAAAAUUAAAGCGAAAGGAAAAUGAAACGACAAGUAUAUAUUUGUAAAAGAGGGACCCAUCAACCAGUUAACAUUUGGCCUGUUGAGGCAGGAUACGCGAAUAAAUGUCAAGGGGUGGAAACAACUUGCUUCCCUUUGUGAUAAUGUG